rnacentral:rRNA from 1 species
AUUGAACGCUGGCGGCAGGCCUAACACAUGCAAGUCGAACGGUAACAGGAAGCAGCUUGCUGCUUUGCUGACGAGUGGCGGACGGGUGAGUAAUGUCUGGGAAACUGCCUGAUGGAGGGGGAUAACUACUGGAAACGGUAGCUAAUACCGCAUAACGUCGCAAGACCAAAGAGGGGGACCUUCGGGCCUCUUGCCAUCGGAUGUGCCCAGAUGGGAUUAGCUAGUAGGUGGGGUAACGGCGCACCUAGGCGACAAUCCCUAGCUGGUCUGAGAGGAUGACCAGCCACACUGGAACUGAGACACGGUCCAGACUCCUACGGGAGGCAGCAGUGGGGAAUAUUGCACAAUGGGCGCAAGCCUGAUGCAGCCAUGCCGCGUGUAUGAAGAAGGCCUUCGGGUUGUAAAGUACUUUCAGCGGGGAGGAAGGGAGUAAAGUUAAUACCUUUGCUCAUUGACGUUACCCGCAGAAGAAGCACCGGCUAACUCCGUG